rnacentral:misc_RNA from 1 species
UCGGAUAUUAGCACAAGUUGAUUACCAAAUAGAUGAUCUAAUAAAUCAUUUCUAAAGAUUAAAAAUAAAAUGUAACCCAUGCCGAGUUGCGUAGAUCAAAACUCGCACAGCGUUGUAUAUUAGAGAAAUUGAAUUAGUUCAAGAAUUAAAAAAAAACCAGAGUAGUAAUUCAAUGCUCCGCGCCUUGUUGAUGAGAUGUCCUGAGAGUGCUAUACCUGUCCCUGCGCUAGGCAUCCGGGUUGUUGAGAAAAACGAUUCUGGAGCGCUCCUCAAUGUGCAGGAUACUUUGUUAGGUCAAGUAAUAUACCAGAUAACUCACGUCAGGGCAAAUACCGAUGAGUGCAUCAGCAUGCGAGUAAAACUCUUCCUUCAAUGAGAUAACGAUUGUCUGUAGGGAAUGAGUUUUGUCACGAAUGUAACUCGCCACUUUUCCAAUGUUCGUAUUAUCAAGGGCUGCGUCAAUUUCAUCGAGAACGAAAAAAGGUGCAGGUUGAAAGCUGUAGAGGU